AACAUAAUUAGGCAAUUUAUUAUACAAACGAAUGCAUGUUGGGUAAGGACCCUUGCCCACAACGGUCAAGUGGCGAGCAGGGGUCACCAAAUCAUUUCCGUAACGAAAAUUGUAGCCACUCUUUAAGGAAACAUCACUUCUGCUAAUAAAAUUGCAUAUAUGUGACUUUACAUAAACAACACAACUGAAAAUAUACAGCGAAAUUAUAGUUAAAAUAUUUAAUUGUUUAAAACCUGUCUACAGGAAUCCAAGCGCCUUCUAAACGUCAUGGUACGAAUAAUUUUUUUUUGAAGAACAAGCACCUCAUUAAUUCGCGAACAAUUUCCCCAACAAACCAAGCAAUAUUGCAAAAUUGACUGUACAUGAGCAAAAUAGUAAAGUUUUAAGAUAUCUAGGGAGACAAAAUUCCUGAGUUGCCAUAGAACAUAACAGUGCACAGACAAUCUUCCCACUACAUAAUCAACGUGAGAGCUCCAAGACAAAUUAGAAUCCAGUAGAAGACAGUUUGCUUUUUGUACUACAUGAAAAAAAUUAUUGGAAUUUAGUGCAACUGUGGUAUCGUCAGCAAAUUGAGUGACAUAACAGCCUGAUUGCUGUUCCACGUUUUCUACUCGAACGCUUAUUGCAUCAGAAAAAUUAUUUAAUGGAUUCCGAGCCAAACAUGUUGAGCUAUCGUUUAUCAGUUGAUUUAAAUCAUUGACAAAAAUCAAAAAUAAAAGAGGGCCAAUGAUACUUCCCUGUGGAACUCCGGAGAGGACACUUUCUUCUGAAGAAAAUAUUAUAUUCCCAUUCACAUUGACCUUAACCUUUUGAAACCUUUUCGAUAAAAAGGUGUGGAUCCACUUUAACGCAGUACCUCUAACACCACUAUGAUAAAGU
rnacentral:lncRNA from 1 species